ACGUAGUGCUGAAACACAUACUACUGGAUCUAUGUGGUAGCAUACACCAGUUGAACAACUGGACCAUGACAUUUGUAUCUCGUUAGAUAUUCUGUUUUGGAUUUUAUCAACCUUCAAGCAAGGGUCUCAUUCUGGGAUUUUUUUCGAAAUUUACCUCAUUGGAUUCAGCAGCAUACUGCCAUGAACGAUGCUGGCAAUUUUCUAAUUGAAACCUGUGAUGAGAUGGUUUCCCGUGACCUGAAGCAGCAAUUACUGUUGCUAAAUGGGCGGUGGAGGGAGUUGUUUAUGGAAGUCAAGCAAUAUGCUCAAGCUGAUGAGAUGGACAGAAUGAAGAAGGAAUACACAGACUGUGUUGUUACCCUGUCUGCUUUUGCAACGGAAGCCCAUAAGAAACUUUCUGAACCCUUAGAAGUCUCUUUUAUGAAUGUCAAGCUAUUAAUUCAAGACUUGGAGGAUAUUGAGCAGAGGGUGCCUGUGAUGGAUGCCCAAUACAAGAUAAUUACAAAGACAGCACACCUCAUUACCAAAGAAAGCCCCCAAGAAGAAGGAAAAGAAAUGUUUGCGACCAUGUCAAAGCU
rnacentral:sRNA from 1 species